GUGCGCGCAUUUUGCCACACGCAGCUUGUAAAUGAGGAUACUUGAAGUUGGACACCUCCAAAAAUUGGGGAGGGGGGGUGUUGAGUUGUGUGAAGCUGGAAUUUUUGGUUGUGUUUCUAUGCAGUCGUGUUUUCAUGAGGCGCUAUUUGACAUUUAUGAGCACAAUCGUUGCCUUAUUUUGUGGCAUUAUUGAUUUUUUUGGGGGGGAUUACUUUCAUUCUGCAUGCAGGGUUUUGUGGCAUCGUUUUUUUCUUUGGGGUGGCGGGGUCGUUUUUUUUUUUUUGUUUUUUUUUUUUUUUAAAUGAAGUACCAUUUUUUCAGGUUAUUUUAAUGACGUACAUUCGGGAUUAGUUGCAUUGUGGUUUUAUUUUUAGUUUUUAUAACGCCAACUUUCAGACGUAAUUUAUUAUAAUUAUUAUUAGGGCUCUUAUUGGCAUGCUCAGUUUGCAUUCAUAUUGUUACGUAAUGUAUUUUUAUGCAACUUUAAUGUUUACAUUCAUGACAAUGCUGUGUGUGUGUGUGUGUGUGUGUGUGUGUGUUUUUUUUUAGAUUUUUCUUUCCAAUGUUAAUGGACCUGUCACCCCAUUUUUAAGACACAAACGUUUUCAUGCACUGGAUUUUUAAAAAAUCAUUUUAUUUUUCUAAACUUUCUCAUCAAUUGUCUUUGUAUUUAUGAAAUCUGCAUGUCACUUUUUUUUCACAAUCAUAAUUAUUCCACCAUUCUCCAUGACGCUUUCAUGACACCCAGUUAUUAAUCAGUACAUGCAUGAUCAUUUUCUGGCUAGUUAUUAGCUUUCUUUUUAGUGGCACCAAUUUUUAAAGGCAAUAUCUGGAUUUUUAAAAAAAUAUAUAUAUACAUAAGAAUGAUUUGUAUUUUCUCAUGACGUUCAAGUGACACUUCAAAUAAAAAAAUAGCUUGACAUGCAA